rnacentral:ncRNA from 17 species
GUAGAAAUCGAUAACGAAGGUGCCUGAAAAGGCUUAAUAGGGAAUUCGGUAAAAUGCCGGAGCUGUACCCGCAACUGUAAGUGCUGACGAGCUGUCGCAAUCCACUGUCCAAUGGACGGGAAGGAGACAGCAGAGGAUGACGCACGAGCCAGGAGACCUGUCUUCGUUACAAGUUUAUGA